rnacentral:snRNA from 1 species
GUGCUCACCUCAGCAGCACAUAUACUAAAACCGGGAUAAUACAGAGAAGAUUAGCAUAGCCCCCGUGCAAUGAUGACAAGCGUAUUCAUGAAGCAUUCCAUAUUUUC